AACGAACGCUGCGGCAGGCUUAACACAUGCAAGUCGAGCGCCCGCAAGGGGAGCGGCAGACGGGUGAGUAACGCGUGGGAAUCUACCCAUCUCUACGGAAUAACGCAUGGAAACGUGUGCUAAUACCGUAUACGACCUUCGGGAGAAAGAUUUAUCGGAGAUGGAUGAGCCCGCGUUGGAUUAGCUAGUUGGUGGGGUAAAGGCCUACCAAGGCGACGAUCCAUAGCUGGUCUGAGAGGAUGAGCAGCCACACUGGGACUGAGACACGGCCCAGACUCCUACGGGAGGCAGCAGUGGGAAAUAUUGGACAAUGGGCGCAAGCCUGAUCCAGCCAUGCCGCGUGAGUGAUGAAGGCCCUAGGGUUGUAAAGCUCUUUCACCGGUGAAGAUAAUGACGGUAACCGGAGAAGAAGCCCCGGCUAACUUCGUGCCAGCCGCCGCCGUAAUAC
rnacentral:rRNA from 1 species